rnacentral:rRNA from 1 species
GACGAACGCUGGCGGCGUGCUUAACACAUGCAAGUCGAGCGGUAAGGCCCUUCGGGGUACACGAGCGGCGAACGGGUGAGUAACACGUGGGUGACCUGCCCUUAGCUCUGGGAUAAGCCUGGGAAACUGGGUCCAAUACCGGAUAUGACCUCAUGACGCAUGUUGUGGGGUGGAAAGCCUUGUGCGGCUAGGGAUGGGCCCGCGGCCUAUCAGCUUGUUGGUGGGGUGAUGGCCACCAAGGCGACGACGGGUAGCCGGCCUGAGAGGGCGACCGGCCACACUGGGACUGAGACACGGCCCAGACUCCUACGGGAGGCAGCAGUGGGGAAUCUUGCGCAAUGGGCGAAAGCCUGACGCAGCGACGCCGCGUGA